rnacentral:tRNA from 1 species
GGAUUAUGGCUCAGUGGUAGAGCACUUGCCUAGCACGUGUGAGGCACUGGGUUCGAUUCUCAGCACCA